UGGGGAAUAUUGCACAAUGGGCGCAAGCCUGAUGCAGCGACGCCGCGUGAGGGAUGACGGCCUUCGGGUUGUAAACCUCUUUCAGCUCCGACGAAGCGCAAGUGACGGUAGGAGCAGAAGAAGCACCGGCCAACUACGUGCCAGCAGCCGCGGUAAUACGUAGGGUGCAAGCGUUGUCCGGAAUUACUGGGCGUAAAGAGCUCGUAGGCGGUUUGUCGCGUCGUCUGUGAAAUUCUGCAGCUUAACUGCAGGCGUGCAGGCGAUACGGGCAGACUUGAGUACUGCAGAGGAGACUGGAAUUCCUGGUGUAGCGGUGAAAUGCGCAGAUAUCAGGAGGAACACCGGUGGCGAAGGCGGGUCUCUGGGUAGUAACUGACGCUGAGGAGCGAAAGCGUGGGUAGCGAACAGG
rnacentral:rRNA from 1 species